AUCCAUUCACUAUUUUUCUCUGGUAUCUCCGCCUUCAACUCUUCUCUACUUCCAUCACCACCACAGACAAUAGAUCAGCAUCCUCCACUUCCAUCACCACCACAACAAUACCUUCUCCUUCAUCUUCUCGAUUGAUUUAGUUUGUAUGCUUAUAAUCAACGAAACGCACAAAAACCCGAGUAUACAAAUCUGUAUUUUUUUCUCACUUCAGAAAUUGAAACUCACUGUUAGAAAUCAAAGCUUUAUCUGAACCCAUGUCUGAAAACCAAAACCCAUGUAUCAGAAGAAAUCAAGAGGAAGCUUUCUAACCCUAGAUUUAGUAUUUAGUUGUUCUUGAAAUCAUCUGGCUAAUAUCAAUUGCUCUUGAAAUCAUCAGGUGAGCUGUUUAUUUUUCUAUUUUGUCUUACAAGAAAACUCAAAAAGGAGGUAGAAGAUCUCUUCUCCUAUUGUUCUGGAACUCCGCAAAGAAGGACUCAACCUCAUCAUAGAAAGGGUAUCCUACACCAGCAAAAUUGAUUAUCCAAAGUCAAAUUCAAGGCUUAUAACUGCCAUAAUAUUGCAAGGAUACUAGCUCAAAUCAAGGAUUGUGUGUUUGGAUUUCUCUUUCUCAAUGGAUUUCAAUUAUUCAAUUUCAUGAAAUUGUGGAAGUGUAUAUUGCUGAUUUAGGCAAAGACAUAAAUUUAGGGAUCUACAAGAGAUUUUCUUUGAUCCAAGAUUUUAGUUCUUUUUAUAAGGAGCCUUGACCUUGAAACAUUAUCUAUUAAAUAUGUGGCCCUAACUGCAGAGAUAUUUUUUUUUUGCAGCUUAAGGCUAGAGGGAAGUAGAUGGAGUUAUGCAAAGGCUUGCAGAGAUACAAACUAGCAGGAUAUUGGCUAUACGCUGAUCAAUAAAUGAAACAAAACUAUUGUAGUUUCCUUAUGAAACGGUCUUGCCACCACCAUGGGACAAGAGUUGUUGGAUGUUCUUGACAGCGAUCCGAUUAUGGCAAUCAAAUCUUUAAAGUUUGGAGGCCUCCAAGGUACAUGAAUGGUGACUGCUUCGUCAGCAAAACAUAGCCAAUGAUACAAGGAGUCUGUAGAUUAAUGUGGGAUCUUCAGCAAAUGAUGUAAUAAAGAGCUGCGAGCUAAUGUGUUGGGAAAAAUAGAGUCAGUUAGCAUCGGGGAGGAAGACACCCUCUUAAUUGUGAGCUAUCAAGUAAGGUUGUCAUCUUUUUGUAAUUAACUUACUCAAUUACAUGGGAAUAAUAAUACUAAUUGUACGAAAGUACUUGAGGUGUUACUCGACAUGGUUUUAGGAGUUACUCGAGAUGGUUUGUUGAUGAGAAUGAAGAAAUCUCAGUUGCAGGAUGUUAUUAAAUUAUCUUACAAGGUGUAUUUCUCUGUAUACAAGUAUCUCUGAAUAAUGACAUGGCUAGUUUCAUGCACAGAAGCUUCAGAACUCUAAUUUGAUGUUUAAUCAAAUGUCUACUUGUUCACCAUUUUGUUAUUCAAUCUUAGAACUUACUAGCUAGCUAGAACUUAUAUAUUGUUUUGAACUCGGGAUUUCAAUCCUCGUCUGUUUAAAUUUAAACCUAAUGAAUACAAUGAACGAAUGUUGAAUUU